AGGCGCCAGAAGGGCAUCUUUCUGUCACCAUCGUUUGUGCAGCUGCUGACUUAAUGUUACGAAUGGGGAGUUACCAUACUCUGUUAUAAGUUAUUAUUAUUAUUCUUUUAAGCCCGCCCUCUCAGUCUCGAUCGCCUCCAGCCAAUUAGCAACCUAUCAAAUUUGGAAAUCGGCUACUACUGCGCUAAACAUCUCCCCCCAUAACUAAAACCCUAUUUUCAAGUAUCAUGUUGCUCAAGAAGAUUGCAUCCAGAAGCGGUUCCAUUUCAGGAGGCUUCCUUCUCCGCCGAUUCUCCUCUCAGAAUCAGAUCCCCAGCAGAUUGGAAGGCAAGGUGGCGUUGAUCACGGGAGCAGCCAGAGGCAUUGGAAAAGAAACCGCCUCCAAGUUCGUUAACAAUGGCGCCAAAGUGGUGAUCGCCGACAUCCACCACCAGCUGGGCCGGGAAGCCGCGGAGGAGAUAGGUCCCGCCGCAGCCUUCGUCCCCUGCGACGUCAGCAAGGAAUCGGACAUCUCCGCCGCAGUGGACUACACCGUAUCCAAAUACGGACAACUUGACGUCAUGUACAACAACGCCGGUAUCGCUUGCCGGACUCCGCCUAGUAUCGCCGACCUCGAUCUCGCUACAUUCGACCGUGUCAUGGCUAUCAACGUGCGCGGCGUCGUCGCCGGGAUCAAGCACGCGUCCCGAGUGAUGAUUCCGAGGAAAACCGGAUCCAUCAUAUGCACCGCCAGUGUUACCGGAAUAGUAGGCGGCCUUUCGCAGCACACCUAUUCUAUCUCGAAAUUCUCGGUGGUCGGCGUUGUGAAGUCGGUGGCGUCGGAGCUGUGCCGGCACGGCAUCCGCGUGAACUGCAUAUCGCCUUUUGCGAUUCCGACGGCGUUUGUGAUGGAUGAACUGACAGGAUAUUGUCCGGGAGUGGAUCCGCAGAAGCUGAUCAAUAUGAUUCACAAUUCUGGUGAGUUGAAGGGAGCUCACUGCGAGCCAAGUGAUAUAGCCAACGCUGCGGUUUACUUGGCUUCCGACGACGCCAAGUAUGUCAGCGGCCACAACCUGGUGGUAGAUGGUGGCUUUACAUCAAUGAAGAGUUUGGGGCUCUCUCUUCCAGAGUGAGAGAGAAACGUGAACAGCUGUAACUGCAAAUAUCCCCCGCCACUUCUGCAGAUUAUGAAGCUAAUUAAGCUUGACUUUUACAUGUUUUUCUUGUAUUACAAAGGUCAUUUCAACAUUUGACUGAGGAGCAAAGAAGAAUUAGUGUUCUAACAGCAAGGGCACAAGAUUAUUGGCACAUCACACUUUCCCAUUAACUCAUGAAGGGACACCAACAACACAAUUCAUUUGGUGAAUCGCUUUGAAUGGAGUCAGGCACCCACCAUCUCAACUGUUUGAAUUGGGGAUCUUGGCUUUCAAUUAAGCUAAGCCUCAAUCAUGAAAACCUAAUUGCUAUUUGGAGAUGUACCUUGUCUUUUCCAUUUGGAAAAGCCUUCACUGCACGGCACUGCUGCAACCAUUUGUUGAGAGGGAGAGAACCUUGGAGAUCGGAGUUUGAUCAGAGUUAGGCUGCAUUCCCACACAAGAAGCAUUUGCAAAGAUCAUUCCGGUUCUCAGGGUAUAGAAUGUCUUUAAAACAUUCACACGGCACAGCCUCACAGGAAACUGCUUUUGCGAGUGCCUUUGCCCUCUCUGUCAAAAGAAAGACAAUAGUCUGUAAGCUAGAAAAUUGCUCGAUAUCCGCCAGCCUAAGCUGGUAUAAAUCAUAGUGUUCACCAGAAUUGCGGUUGAAAAUGAAAACCCUAGCCCCUCGGCUUCUUGCACCAAAAGCCAGUGCUCUCCCGGCGCCUUCUUCCUCAAC